rnacentral:snRNA from 1 species
AUCGCUUCUCGGCCUUUUGGCUAAGAUCAAGUGUAGAAUGUUUUAAAAGUUAUAAUGUUAUUAGGCAAAACACUU